rnacentral:rRNA from 1 species
ACGAACGCUGGCGGCGUGCCUAAUACAUGCAAGUUGAGCGCUGAAGGUUGGUACUUGUACCAACUGGAUGAGCAGCGAACGGGUGAGUAACGCGUGGGGAAUCUGCCUUUGAGCGGGGGACAACAUUUGGAAACGAAUGCUAAUACCGCAUAAAAACUUUAAACACAAGUUUUAAGUUUGAAAGAUGCAAUUGCAUCACUCAAAGAUGAUCCCGCGUUGUAUUAGCUAGUUGGUGAGGUAAAGGCUCACCAAGGCGAUGAUACAUAGCCGACCUGAGAGGGUGAUCGGCCACAUUGGGACUGAGACACGGCCCAAACUCCUACGGGAGGCAGCAGUAGGGAAUCUUCGGCAAUGGACGAAAGUCUGACCGAGCAACGCCGCGUGAGUGAAGAAGGUUUUCGGAUCGUAAAACUCUGUUGAUAGAGAAGAACGUUGGUGAGAGUGGAAAGCUCAUCAAGUGACGGUAACUACCCAGAAAGGGACGGCUAACUACGUG